rnacentral:precursor_RNA from 14 species
AUUGUCAUUAUAGCAUCUAAAUGAACAGUGACAUAGAAAAGACAGUCUGCAUAUGAUUCUGGAGCUGUAGUCUGUCUCUUCUCUGUCAUUGUGGCUUGCUUUGCUCCAGCUGUGCCUA